rnacentral:rRNA from 1 species
UAAGCGACUAAGCGUACACGGUGGAUGCCCUGGCAGUCAGAGGCGAUGAAGGACGUGCUAAUCUGCGAAAAGCGUCGGUAAGGUGAUAUGAACCGUUACAGCCGGCGAUGUCCGAAUGGGGAAACCCAGUGCAAUUCGUUGCACUAUCGUUAACUGAAUACAUAGGUUAACGAGGCGAACCGGGGGAACUGAAACAUCUAAGUACCCCGAGGAAAAGAAAUCAACCGAGAUUCCCCCAGUAGCGGCGAGCGAACGGGGAGCAGCCCAGAGUCUGAAUCAGCUUGUGUGUUAGUGGAACGGUCUGGAAAGUCCGACGGUACAGGGUGAUAGUCCCGUACACCAAAAUGCACAGGUUGUGAACUCGAAGAGUAGGGCGGGACACGUGGUAUCCUGUCUGAAUAUGGGGGGACCAUCCUCCAAGGCUAAAUACUCCUGACUGACCGAUAGUGAACCAGUACCGUGAGGGAAAGGCGAAAAGAACCCCGGCGAGGGGAGUGAAAAAGAACCUGAAACCGUGUACGUACAAGCAGUGGGAGCACCUUCGGGUGUGACUGCGUACCUUUUGUAUAAUGGGUCAGCGACUUAUAUUCUGUAGCAAGGUUAACCGUAUAGGGGAGCCGCAGGGAAACCGAGUCUUAACUGGGCGUUAAGUUGCAGGGUAUAGACCCGAAACCCGGUGAUCUAGCCAUGGGCAGGUUGAAGGUUGGGUAACACUAACUGGAGGACCGAACCGACUAAUGUUGAAAAAUUAGCGGAUGACUUGUGGCUGGGGGUGAAAGGCCAAUCAAACCGGGAGAUAGCUGGUUCUCCCCGAAAGCUAUUUAGGUAGCGCCUCGUGAACUCAUCUUCGGGGGUAGAGCACUGUUUCGGCUAGGGGGUCAUCCCGACUUACCAACCCGAUGCAAACUACGAAUACCGAAGAAUGUUAUCACGGGAGACACACGGCGGGUGCUAACGUCCGUCGUGAAGAGGGAAACAACCCAGACCGCCAGCUAAGGUCCCAAAGUCAUGGUUAAGUGGGAAACGAUGUGGGAAGGCACAGACAGCCAGGAUGUUGGCUUAGAAGCAGCCAUCAUUUAAAGAAAGCGUAAUAGCUCACUGGUCGAGUCGGCCUGCGCGGAAGAUGUAACGGGGCUAAACCAUGCACCGAAGCUGCGGCAGCGACACUAUGUGUUGUUGGGUAGGGGAGCGUUCUGUAAGCCUGCGAAGGUGUGCUGUGAGGCAUGCUGGAGGUAUCAGAAGUGCGAAUGCUGACAUAAGUAACGAUAAAGCGGGUGAAAAGCCCGCUCGCCGGAAGACCAAGGGUUCCUGUCCAACGUUAAUCGGGGCAGGGUGAGUCGACCCCUAAGGCGAGGCCGAAAGGCGUAGUCGAUGGGAAACAGGUUAAUAUUCCUGUACUUGGUGUUACUGCGAAGGGGGGACGGAGAAGGCUAUGUUAGCCGGGCGACGGUUGUCCCGGUUUAAGCAUGUAGGCUGAUUGUCCAGGCAAAUCCGGAUAAUCAAGGCUGAGGUGUGAUGACGAGGCACUACGGUGCUGAAGUAACAAAUGCCCUGCUUCCAGGAAAAGCCUCUAAGCAUCAGGUAACAUCAAAUCGUACCCCAAACCGACACAGGUGGUCAGGUAGAGAAUACCAAGGCGCUUGAGAGAACUCGGGUGAAGGAACUAGGCAAAAUGGUGCCGUAACUUCGGGAGAAGGCACGCUGGUGUGUAGGUGAAGUCCCUGCGGAUGGAGCUGAGACCAGUCGAAGAUACCAGCUGGCUGCAACUGUUUAUUAAAAACACAGCACUGUGCAAACACGAAAGUGGACGUAUACGGUGUGACGCCUGCCCGGUGCCGGAAGGUUAAUUGAUGGGGUUAUCCGUAAGGAGAAGCUCUUGAUCGAAGCCCCGGUAAACGGCGGCCGUAACUAUAACGGUCCUAAGGUAGCGAAAUUCCUUGUCGGGUAAGUUCCGACCUGCACGAAUGGCGUAAUGAUGGCCAGGCUGUCUCCACCCGAGACUCAGUGAAAUUGAACUCGCUGUGAAGAUGCAGUGUACCCGCGGCAAGACGGAAAGACCCCGUGAACCUUUACUAUAGCUUGACACUGAACAUUGAGCCUUGAUGUGUAGGAUAGGUGGGAGGCUUUGAAGCGUGGACGCCAGUCUGCGUGGAGCCAACCUUGAAAUACCACCCUUUAAUGUUUGAUGUUCUAACGUUGGCCCCUGACCGGGGUUGCGGACAGUGUCUGGUGGGUAGUUUGACUGGGGCGGUCUCCUCCCAAAGCGUAACGGAGGAGCACGAAGGUUAGCUAAUCCUGGUCGGACAUCAGGAGGUUAGUGCAAUGGCAUAAGCUAGCUUGACUGCGAGCGUGACGGCGCGAGCAGGUGCGAAAGCAGGUCAUAGUGAUCCGGUGGUUCUGAAUGGAAGGGCCAUCGCUCAACGGAUAAAAGGUACUCCGGGGAUAACAGGCUGAUACCGCCCAAGAGUUCAUAUCGACGGCGGUGUUUGGCACCUCGAUGUCGGCUCAUCACAUCCUGGGGCUGAAGUAGGUCCCAAGGGUAUGGCUGUUCGCCAUUUAAAGUGGUACGCGAGCUGGGUUUAGAACGUCGUGAGACAGUUCGGUCCCUAUCUGCCGUGGGCGCUGGAGAAUUGAGGGGGGCUGCUCCUAGUACGAGAGGACCGGAGUGGACGCAUCACUGGUGUUCGGGUUGUCAUGCCAAUGGCACUGCCCGGUAGCUAAAUGCGGAAGAGAUAAGUGCUGAAAGCAUCUAAGCACGAAACUUGCCCCGAGAUGAGUUCUCCCUGAGACUUUAAGUCUCCUGAAGGAACGUUAAAGACGAUGACGUUGAUAGGCCGGGUGUGUAAGCGCAGCGAUGCGUUGAGCUAACCGGUACUAAUGAACCGUGAGGCUUAACCU